rnacentral:tRNA from 1 species
GCCUGGGUGGCUCAGUUGGUUGAGCUUCUGACUUUGGCUCAGAUCAUGUUCUUAGGGUUAGUGAGUUUGAGCCCCGCAUCGGGCU